GAUGAACGCUGGCGGCGUGCCUAAUACAUGCAAGUCGAGCGAACGGACGAGAAGCUUGCUUCUCUGAUGUUAGCGGCGGACGGGUGAGUAACACGUGGAUAACCUACCUAUAAGACUGGGAUAACUUCGGGAAACCGGAGCUAAUACCGGAUAAUAUUUUGAACCACAUGGUUCAAAAGUGAAAGACGGUCUUGCUGUCACUUAUAGAUGGAUCCGCGCUGCAUUAGCUAGUUGGUAAGGUAACGGCUUACCAAGGCAACGAUGCAUAGCCGACCUGAGAGGGUGCCCGCCCCCCCGGAACCUGAACCCCGGUCCAACCCCCUACGGGGGGCACCAGGAGGGAAUCUUCCGAAAGGGGGGAAACCCUGACGGAGCAACCCCGCGUGAGUGAUGAAGGUCUUCGGUUCGUAAAACUCUUUUAUUAGGAAAAAAAAUUUGUGUAAGUAACUGUCCCCAUUUGGACGGUACCUAAUCAAAAAGCCCCGGCUAACUCCGU
rnacentral:rRNA from 1 species